rnacentral:rRNA from 2 species
UAGGGAAUCUUCCACAAUGGACGAAAGUCUGAUGGAGCAACGCCGCGUGAGUGAAGAAGGUUUUCGGAUCGUAAAACUCUGUUGUAAGGGAAGAACAAGUACAGUAGUAACUGGCUGUACCUUGACGGUACCUUAUUAGAAAGCCACGGCUAACUACGUGCCAGCAGCCGCGGUAAUACGUAGGUGGCAAGCGUUGUCCGGAAUUAUUGGGCGUAAAGCGCGCGCAGGCGGUCCUUUAAGUCUGAUGUGAAAGCCCUCGGCUCAACCGAGGAGGGUCAUUGGAAACUGGAGGACUUGAGUGCAGAAGAGGAAAGUGGAAUUCCAAGUGUAGCGGUGAAAUGCGUAGAGAUUUGGAGGAACACCAGUGGCGAAGGCGACUUUCUGGUCUGUAACUGACGCUGAGGCGCGAAAGCGUGGGGAGCAAACAGG